rnacentral:rRNA from 1 species
UACAGAGGUCCCAAGCGUUGUUCGGAAUUACUGGGCGUAAAGGGCGCGUAGGCGGCCUGUUAAGUCGAACGUGAAAUCCCCGGGCUCAACCCGGGAACUGCGUCCGAUACUGGCAGGCUUGAAUUCGGGAGAGGGAUGUGGAAUUCCAGGUGUAGCGGUGAAAUGCGUAGAUAUCUGGAGGAACACCGGUGGCGAAGGCGGCAUCCUGGACCGAUAUUGACGCUGAUGCGCGAAAGCCAGGGGAGCAAACGGG